ACUCAAAUGAAUUGACGGGGACCCACACAAGCGGUGGAGCAUCUGGUUUAAUUCGAUAGUAAGCGAGGAACCUCACCAAGGCUUGACAUCCCGGGAAGUCUGCCGAAAGGCGGAUGUGCCGCAAGGAACCUGGAGACAGGUGCUGCAUGGUUGUCGUCAGCUCGUGCCUUGAGGUGUUCGGUUAAGUCCGUAAACGAGCGCAACCCUUGUCCUAAGUUGUAUUUUUCUUAGGAGACUGCCGGCUCUAAGUCGGAGGAAGGUAAGGAUGACGUCAAAUCAGCAUGGCCCUUAUGCCUUGGGCCACACAGGUGCUACAAUGGCAAGUACAGUAGGACGCAACGAGGAAACUCCUAGCAAAUCCUUUAAAACUUGUCCAAGUUCGGAUUGAGGGCUGCAACUCGCCCUCAUGAAGUUGGAAUCGCUAGUAACCGCGUAUCAGCCAUGGCGCGGUGAAUAUGUUCCUGGGUCUUGUACACACCGCCCGU
rnacentral:rRNA from 1 species